GUCGAACUCAGGAGUCCAUAAUCUCUCUCCCCAACACCCGAUUGCCUUGCUUAGGACAAAAAGACCACACAAAGCAAAGGAAAAAAUAUAAACAUUUUAAUUGGAUAAGAAAAGAAUAAGAGAGAAGUGUGAGAUCUAGAGGCAGUGCAUUCCUGGCCAAUCACAGACUCUUUGUGACAUGAACACAGUGAAGGGCUCUGGGCUGAAUCUCUAUUUUAAAAUUUUAAAAUUUAUCUUAAUUAAAAUAGAAUAAAAAUAUAAUUAAAAUACAUAUUUUUUUAAUUAAAGAUUGGCAUCUGAGCUAACAACUGUUGCCAAUCUAUUUUUUUCCCUGCUUUUUUUUUCUCCCCAAAUCCCCCCAGUACAUAGUUGUCUAUUUUAGUUGUGGGUCCUUCUAGUUGUGGCAUGUGGGAUGCUGCCUCAACAUGGCCUAAUGAGCAGUGCCAUGUCCGCGCCCAGGAUCCAAACCCUGGGCCACCAAAGCAGAGCACAUGAACUUAACCAUUCGGCGACGGGGCCGGCCCGUAAAAAGUAUUUUUAACGUGCCCCUUUCCCAUCCCGCCACAUAGCGGAGAGAGAGUUAAUAUAUUCUGUUUAUCCGUUCUGGUGGCACUGUGUCAGCCCUAUUAUUCAGGGUCUAACAGUUGAAAGAGGCUCACUGAGUCCAUUGGGCAGAUGAGAAAAAUAAGGUCCAGGGAUAGGAAAUGACCUGCCCGAGGAAAUCUAACAUCCCUCGCUCUCCAGACCUGUGGUAUUCCCAGUGCAGAGUGCACCUACUUCCCUAGCUUCUGCAGAGAAGGGAAUUCAGGUCCCUCUGGCAACCCUCAUUUCAUUUCUCAUGAUUCUGUCUACUGGUUUAGCAAAAUCCCCAGGGCAAUUGGCUGAUUCUGAUGAAAUGUACUGUAGCUACCAAAAGAUAGCAGUGGACAGGGUUAGUUUGUCAACAUAUACAGGAGAAGGGAUCCUGAACUAUAAUGAGCAUGAAAACAGAUAAGGAAUUUAUUUAUUUGGUCCACAUAAAAGGUAUUAUAGCCACACAACGUAAUAAAACUAUGUAGCAGUUACAAAGAAUAAGGUAGCUGACAUGGAUAGCACUUGAUAUAUUGCUGAGUAGGAAAAGGCAAGUUGCAGAAUAAUCUCUUUAUCACAGGUCUACAAAAACAGUACUCUGUGUGUGUGUAUGUGCGUGUACAUAAACGCAUUAGAGAGGUCUGUGAGGAUGUGCUCCAAAGGGAUAACCUAAGCAGAGAUGAUGGGGAAACAAGGAUCAUGGGCAGUGAUCAAAAAAGGACUUCAGGCGCCGGCCCUGGGGCCAAGUCGUUAAGGUCGUGUGCUCUGCUUCGGCGGCCCAGGGUUUCACUGAUUCGCAUCCUGAGUACAGACAUGGCGCCGCUCAUCAGGCCACAGUGAGGUGGUGUCCCAUACGCCACAACUAGAAGGACCCACCACUAAAAUACACAACUAUGUAUUGGGGGGAUUUGGGGAGAAAAAACAGGAAAAAAGAAAAAGGAAGAUUGGCAACAGUUGUUAGCUCAGGUGCCAAUCUUUAAAAAAAAAGAAAACUGGAAAAAAAAAAAAGGACUUUAACCUUAUUUGGAAACUGUUUUUUCCCCCCAAGGUGAAAACAUUCAUUUACUAUUUAUGUAAUAAAUGAUUGAUUUUUUUUUUAAAAAGGAGAAAAAUAGAAAUAGGAUUCUAUUCAUUCAUCUAUCUAGUCUAUCUAUUCAUCCAACUAUUUGAGCAUCUAUUAUGGGCCAGGAAGGAAAUAAGAUGAAAAACACAGCCCCUGGCCACAAGAAGCUCCGUUCUAACGGGUGAGCAGGAAGAUCUGACUGCUUGGUAUGCGUAACGAGGAAUGUCGCGAGGAAUGUCGCGAGUGCUCUGGUGACAGAAGCAAACAGCACAGAAUGGGAACAGAAAGUGAUUUCCACGUUUCAGGGGAGAUCCAGAGGCCAAAACAGAGUGCCUGGUAAAUUCUGCCAAGGCCUGCCACCUUGAAACAAAAUGACCAUGAUGACAGUUUGCAAACGGACAAAGCUUUGCUAAUCUUAAAGGAAUUCCAAUGUCUUUGACUUCAGUUAGAGCUCACGAAGGAAUAGGACAGUACAAAGGACAGUUUGGAGGUCCCCCAAAUUUAACCCCCACAGAAGGAGAUGGUUUAGUUGCUUUUUAAAGGCACUGACUCUUCGGCUGUUUUUAUCAGUACAUACGGUUUACUCUGCUAGGCUAGAAAUGGCCUCUGCCAAAAUUGCUGUUUUGACUUGGAUUUCCAAAAAUAACUCACGAGAAGCCUGCAGUGUGAGAGGAAGACGGUCGCUCACAGCUCCAAGGAGGAAAGAAGACAGCAUUUGAUUCGAAUUACUUAAGAGCUGAAAUGGAGUGCCAGCAUCUCCUUGGAGCAACUGCUAUAUAAUUAGCCAUCCUAAUGGAAUCUUUUCAAAACCAAGGCAGUUCAAUAAGGUCAUUUAAUUGAAAAUAAGAUUUCCAGACCAACUAUUCUGUCAAAGCCACAUUAAGUGACGACAGCUCAGCAGUGACCGAUCCCUGGUAAAACGUAUUCUGUGCCACGGGAGAGAAGGUGGGAAGGAGGGAGGUGUUCUGCUAUUUGGGGAACAUGGUGACGGCCUAGGCUCCUUUUUCCAGCUGCGUGUGUCUUCUUGUCACCGGGAAAAAGCACUCAAUUCUCUCUGGGCCAGUGUUACUGCUGGGCCUAUCCCCUCCGGCCAGUUAUUUUCCAGUCUCCUGAAAAGAAGCAGCAAGGAUUAAAAUCUCGCAGAUAACAUGGGGGAGAGAAGAGAAAAUGACGCUCGCCAUCCAACCUGCUCACGAUGAGACAUGAGAUGUCCCGGUCCAGACAUGGGCUUGUGAAAGACUCGGCGACUGGAAAUGACCUUCACUGCUUGGACAUUCCUGUUUGUCACUUAUUAGCUGUGUGACCUCUGCUGAGUUAUUUCACAUCUCUGAGCAGUAGUUUCCUCACCUUAAAAAAAAAAAAAAGGAUUAUAUUCCCACACCUCACUGGACGAUUAGGAAGAUGAAAUGUGACAAUGUAUGUUAAACUGCGAACCUGUGACAGAGCCGGAGUACGUGCCAUCUGGCCCUCUAGAUGGUGUCGGGUACUACGUGUGGUGCGAGCAGCGGUGGGAGGGACUAGAUGCUUCCUUGCUGCUCAAAAUGGGUCAGUCAGUGCGAGGACUGCAGCAUCAGCAUCAUCUGGGGGCUCAUCAUUCAUGCAGAAUCUCAGCCCCACACAGAUGAAUUGAAUGAGAAUCUGCAUUUAAAAAGGACUCCUAGGGAUCUGUGCUUGGCUCAAAUUUGAGGAACGAUGGCCUCGGCCAUCUCUCAGGGGUGUCAUUCUGCACCAGGUGACCUGAGUCAAGGGAAAGUGGUCUUAAAGCUUCCCUUUAAUGGGGAGAAGUGGGUUCCCCGGCAGGCUGUCUGUGAUGUGAGCAAUUUCUGGAGACUGCCCUGCAUUGCCGUCCAGCCUUCCUGCUUCCUGCCUUCAGGGGGGAGAUCAAGGUGAGCCCAGGACCUCCUGAAAGCAAGGGAUUCUCCACCAACGGGGCUGGACCGCUCCAGUGUCCACCGCCACUUCAUCACAGAUGUCUCCAUGUCAUCACACAUGCCCGGGAAUAGGCCCUGGGCACAGAGAGGACAAUGGCAGCAGCUGGCGAAGAGCCAAUGGGAAGGGAGGCCUUGUAACUCGGGAGAAAUGGGAAAGUACAUUACGGCCUGAAUCACGGAGCUCGGGUGCUAUGAAACACGAGCUCACACAAUAAAGAAGGAAACCUUGUACACACACACGGACUUUCUCGGACAUGUGGGUGGACUGGAGCUUGUCCUUCAAGCGAAACACAGAAAUGCUCUCAGAAGGCUGUCAGGAGGGUUUCAUACGAGAUCAAAAGAAUAAAAUGCUUUCUGGGCCACCUGGCACAGAGUAAGUGCUCGAUAAAUUAUACCUAUUAGGUGUCAUUUAGAAAUUAAUUUCUUUGGCUAGGCAGAAACACAAGGGUUCCUAGGGUAUUCGUGUGGCUGAUGAGGGGAACGUGCUGCUGCCACCAUGCUGUUCCCUGACAGCCGGCACUCUGCCUUGGAAUGGUGGCGCAGGCAGAAGCUUUGGCACUCUGGCCCUUGAAUCUCCACGUCAACCUCUCCCCUGGGGAGCCCGCCCGGAAACCUGAAGUGAGGCAGUUGGGUGGGAACAGCUCUGAUGUCCACCUAGCAAGAAGAAUGAGAGAUUCCAAAAGGGGUUGGACAGAUCUAAUCCCCAAGGCGAUGGCCAUGUGCUGGUUGACUCACCGUUUCAGAAACUCUCUACAAAUGGGUAGUCACACAGAUUCGGGGGGAAGAUCUCUUGUAUAGAAGAGGAAGCAUGUGCUCAAAAAAAAUUGGCAAAAUCAGGGGCCGGCCCCAUGGUGCAGCGGUUAAGUGCACACGUUCCACUUCGGCGGUCCGGGGUUUGCUGGUUCGGAUCCUGGGUGUGGACAUGGCACCGCUUGACAGGCCAUGCUGUGGUAGGCGUCCCACAUAGAAAGUAGAGGAAGAUGGGCAUGGAUGUUAGCUCAGGGCCAGUCUUUCUCAGCAAAAAGGGGAGGAUUGGUAGCAGAUGUUAGCUCAGGGCUAAUCUUCCUAAAAAAAACAAAAAACAAAAAAAGAAAUUGGCAAAAUCAGAGAUCUGGUGUGGAAGUGUCUAUGGGUGGCUGAGUAACCCACGCUCCGCUGCCCUCUUCAUCCUUAUUCAGAUAUUCC
ensembl:lncRNA